GACGAACGCUGGCGGCGUGCCUAAUACAUGCAAGUAGAACGCUGAAGCAGGAGCUUGCUUCUCUGGAUGAGUUGCGAACGGGUGAGUAACGCGUAGGUAACCUGCCUGUUAGCGGGGGAUAACUAUUGGAAACGAUAGCUAAUACCGCAUAAUAUUUACUAUUGCAUGAUAGUCAGUUGAAAGGUGCAACUGCACCACUACCAGAUGGACCUGCGUUGUUUUAGCUAGUUGGUGGGGUAACGGCUCACCAAGGCGACGAUACUUAGACGACCUGCGAGGGGGAGAGGCCACACUGGGACAGAGACACGGCGCAGAGUCCUACGGGAGGGAGCAGAAGGGAAACUGCGGCAAGGGGGGGAAGACUGAGAGAGAAACGCGGCGUGAGGGAAGAAGGGGUUCGGAUCGUAAAGCACUGUUGUAAGAGAAGAAAGAGUGUGAGAGUGGAAAGCUCACAAUGUGACGGUAACUUACCAGAAAGGAACGGCUAACUAAGUG
rnacentral:rRNA from 1 species